rnacentral:lncRNA from 1 species
GAGCCACUACAACUUGUCUCGGGAUAGGGACCAGUAGGCAGGUCCUUUAAUCAGAGCUUCUGUGGGCAUGGCCAGAUCAAGGCCAGCACUGUGAACCUGCUUCUCACACUGGUCAGGGGAGACCCCCUGUCAUCCUCUGCCAGGGCUGGCCUGUCACUGCUGCCGGAAUACCCACGGCUGGGCUGUGACUCCUAGGGGAAUGGCUUCUCUCUCUCAGCUGUCACUACAGAAGCUUGGGCCGACUAUUAAACAAGCUGUUCUGACUCCGAGUCCUGCCUCCUGUCAGUGGGAAAACUGCAGCUUCAGAGGACAGAUCGGCUAUGAGGAAAGACAAAGUAACAAAGCAGAGAUCAAAUCAAGAGCGAGUCCUUUGGUAGCAGGUGUCAGCCGGGCUGAGCCGGUGUCAGCCGGGCCUCAGGGAAGACAGGCUCACUCUGCUCCAAUUUGCUUCAUUUAAAGUAGGUAUCUCCCAGCUGUGCACAGGGCCCGAGCUCACAUUCAGGAUGGGGACGCUAGUGAGGAGCAGCAGGAGCUUGUGAUGGCAGGAUGACAUCACAGUCACGAGGUCACUGCCCGCUGUGAUGUGAGGAUGUGAGUGUCCAGGUGUUUCAGGUGACAGAGCCUCUUUGACCUUUCUUUGUAGUCCACCAUUAGAGCCCCAGCUAUAGCAACAAGAAGGUUGUGCCCAACCGCUCAGUGAGGUCUCGGGGAUGACCCACAGAUGGGUCAUCCAUGCGAGUGAAGGAGAGGCUCCUGGGACACGAGGCACUAUGUAGGGCAAAGCAAAGAGGCAUCUUCAGUAGUGAGGAGCCGAGCCAGCCCAGGGAGAGCAAGCAGGAGUCGGUGGAGCCAGUGGUUGACAGUGUGGACUGCGGUAGCGGACAGCUGGGUUUAAGACCUGGGCACAAUGGAGGAUUCUCUUCAUCUUCCUGUGCCUGUUUCUUCACAAGAGGUGAGGAUGAUACCUACUUUAUAGGCCCCUGUCCUCUCUUGGAUUCUAUUCUCAUCUUUAUUCUGAGACAACACAGGAUGGAGCCUGUGCUCAGCAAGCACCCCCAUCUCUGAACACAGGCUCACUGAUCAUUGGCCCAAACCAAGGCUGCAUCUCUGCAGAGUGAGGAUGGCGUUCAUGCCUAUGCCACGGAGUUACCAUGACUACUACAUCUCUGAUAGGUAGCACAGCUGGGCAGCAUCUGGCACACAGUUAUGAAAAGCAUCCUGAUUUUGUUCCUGUGCCCCAGGGAAGUGACUACCUUCUGAGGAGAGCACCUUUGUCUUAAAGCCAAGGACGUGAUCCCACCAUCCAUGUCAAGGACACUCUCUCUGCUCCAGGCAGGAAGCAAACCUAUUUAUAGACUAAGCUAUGUGCUGGUCUAGGUCAUCAAUAAAUUGCUGCCAUUACCCAGGACUGGGUGGGAAGGAAGCUCGUGGUAAGGCUAUCAUCUCCAGUAAGCUAGUGAGGAGGUGAUUUAAUAGCUUAUCUCAGGUAGUUCUGAACCUCCAUGUUAAACAUCCCCAAGGCCCUUGGAUGAUUCCAGAAGCUAUGUAGUGAUGCUCUGUCACACGCAGGGAUUGGGACUUGGUGGUGGCCAGGGUACAAACAGGCAAGGGUGUGGGAAGACUGCAGUGCUCUGGGAGCAGUCGGGGCCUCUGGGACCCUGCCACAAGCCUACUUCUCUGAGCUGCAUCUCCUGUCAAGAGGCCACAGCCUGGGGACAGCAGAGCUCCUCUCCAGGAACAGGAAGAGCAGCCCAGGAAACCAGACCCCGCGUCUCCAGCCUCAACGACCUCUUCCUGAGCAAAGGUUCAUGGGAUCCUUCCCGGUGAUGAGGCGGUGUGACAGGACUUAGGUUACUGAAAUGGAUGUCUCACUAUAAGAAAAGCUGGGAAGCCAGAUGCUGGUCUCCUCAAGAUGGCAAGAACUAAGGAAGAUGCUCCCAUCUCUCUGCUCAGCUUCCAAGGCAGACUCCAGCCACGGACUCUCAGGGAUCUUCAAAUCAGCUGUAGCCCCAGGAAUGCCCCCCUAGGGAUGAAACCAAGCUACUGUCACGCAGUUGUGCAUGUGCAAGCCUUUCAACCAGGGUGCAUGAAAAGCCUCCUCUACCAGCAUGGCCAUCAACCCCUCUGCCCAUGUCUUAGGCUCCUUACUGCCAGGGAGCAACGCUGGCUGUCAUGUUCACAGCUCCUCCGUUGGACUGUCUCCAGCAUAGAUGCUGUAGGGAUGUCAACGUCUGAAGUUAGAGGAGUCCUUGCCACGUGUGCACCUCUCUCUGUCUGGGACAGAUAAGGCACCUGCCCUGUGCGUUCUCGAAGCACACCUUCUCCUUGUUGGAGAGAUGCUCAGAAGAAAGAUGGAGGAGAUACAGCCAGACAUCGGCCUCUGUGUCACAGCCAGCUAUCACAGGAGCAGCAGACCCCCCCCACACACACACACACCUUGUGACACCUUCUAACGCACAUGGAAGCAUUGGCUGGUGCGCCUCAGCAGGGACACUGUCAUUAUAGCAGGAUGUGGCCAGGGCUUGGGUCCCCUCCUCUUUGUGUGCCUUGAUUUGAUAGGUGAGUAAAUGGAAGAGGGGAGGCGGUGCGUGAGAACCUGGCGCCACUCUGGACACCUAGGCAGAGUCUGAGUCCCCGGAGCAUCCUGUGUUUCCUGACCCACCCACUGGUAAUGGUCAGCUACUGCUCGGGCAUGGCUAAAGGGGAGUUCGUGGAAGAAACUGGUUUGUGGAUAGUGUGGAAAGUAAGACAAACUGUGUCAUAGAGGCAUAGAAAGCUGGGGUGUAAUCAGAAGGGAACAGAGGGUAGGGACAUCUGGAAGGUAGAACAAGAAGGCAGGGGCAGAGCUGUAGAUGACAGAGUCCAGAGAUUCCCCCAGCUCAGGAACUUCCAGUGUAAAGACAGAAAAGCUUUGGUUUUUUCAAGUAAAGCCUCCUUUGUUUUUCUUCAUUAAAUUUAUCCUUUUUAAUUUUU